rnacentral:rRNA from 1 species
GAAGGCGAGCUCGAUGACUGGGGCGAAGUCGUAACAAGGUAGCCGUAGGGGAACCUGCGGCUGGAUCACCUCCUUU